rnacentral:tRNA from 1 species
GCCCGGAUAGCCUAGUUGGUUGGGGCGCCAGACUCAUAGCAUCUGGAGGCCGCGUGUUCGAGUCACGCUCCGGGCA